UGUUUCAGCAGAUGGCAGCAUCAGGCUGACCUUGUAUGGGCUCAGAAGCUCAACUGUAACAGUCUGUGAUAGUACUUAAAAUGGGGGAUUACCAGGGAAUCCCCCAGUGAUGAAAGCU
rnacentral:rRNA from 1 species